rnacentral:rRNA from 1 species
ACGGAAGGCAGCAGUGGGGGAUAUUGCACAAUGGGGGAAACCCUGAUGCAGCGACGCCGCGUGAGUGAAGAAGUAUUUCGGUAUGUAAAGCUCUAUCAGCAGGAAAGAUAAUGACGGUACCUGACUAAGAAGCACCGGCUAAAUACGUGCCAGCAGCCGCGGUAAUACGUAUGGUGCAAGCGUUAUCCGGAUUUACUGGGUGUAAAGGGAGCGCAGACGGCAUGGCAAGCCAGAUGUGAAAUGCGGGGGCUCAACUCCUGAACUGCAUUUGGAACUGUCAAGCUAGAGUAUCGGGGAGGUAAGUGGAAUUCCUAGUGUAGCGGUGAAAUGCGUAGAUAUUAGGAGGAACACCAGUGGCGAAGGCGGCUUACUGGACGAUAACUGACGUUGAGGCUCGAAAGCGUGGGGAGCAAACAGGAUUAGAUACCCUGGUA